rnacentral:lncRNA from 1 species
CAUAAUUUCUUUGUAUUAACUAGCAUUUAGGCAUACAUAACACUAAACAUAUUCUUAAAUAGCCACCUCAAUAGCUAAUCAUUAUCAAAUAACUUUACUUCCCUAUUUCAACCAUUUUCGAAACACAAUCCAAACAAUUAACCAUGUUAUUUAAUUUAAUCAAGCAUGAAACCAUACAUAUCAAAAUAAACAAGCCAUUUUCGCAUGGCUCAUUAUAUAUAUAUACAUCAUUCAAUAUAUAUUCCAAAAAGUAGAAUAAACUAUACAUGCCAUAAGUUUAAGUUUAACUUUUAUAGAUACCGAUAACGGACGAUAGUGUGAUUGAUUUCGUUGACAAUCCCCGAUCCUGCAACUAACUUCCAAAAUCUAUAAAACCGAGGCAAACACAUAUGCAUGGUAAGCUAUCAAAGCUUAGUAAGUCAUAAGCAAAUAAACAAUUCAAUGCUAUUAAUAGUUCAGAAUCACAUAACCGAAUUAUUCAAAUCAUAUUCAUAUAUAUAUAAGCAUAAAAAAAAACAUAAUUUUGAUAUCACAUACCCUUACCAUUUGGCCAAAUAUAGUCUUUAAUACACACACACAGACUUUCAUUUGCAUCAUCUAAUUUGUAUCACAAAUGAAAUAACCAACUUACCUUGAUAUCAUAUACUAUUUAACUAUUACAUAUAGGGGUGUGCAAAAUUCGGGUAAAACCGAAAAAAUUCAGUUAACCGACCGAAUUCGGAUAAUUGGUCGGUUAACCGAAUUUUUUCGGUCGAGGGUCGAUUAAUUAUUUUUUGAUUUUUCGGUUAACUGUUAAUUCAGUUUGAAACCGGUCGAUUAACCGAAUUUUUUCGGUUUAAUUGAAAAAAUUAAUAAAUAAAAUUAUAAUAUAUAAAUAGGUCCACUAUUCACCUAAACCCAAUCCAAACCCAAGUAUUCAACCCAACUCAAUUACCCAACCCAACCCAAUCAUAAAAAUUACAAAUAAUUUAAUAAAUAAAAAUAAAAUUUUAAAACUAAAACUAAAGUCUAAAAGUCUAAAAAUAAUUUAAUUAUGUAGUUAUUCAAUUCGGUUAAUUCGGUUAACCGACCGAAUUAACCGAAAAAAAUUCGGUUCGGUUAAUUUUUUUGAAAAAAUUUCAGUUCGGUUAACGGUUAAAAAUUUUGAAAGGUCGGUUAAUUCGGUUAAUAUUAUUUCGGGUCGGUUAAUCGGUCGGUUAACCGAAUGAACACCCCUAAUUACAUACUUGUAAUAUCAUGUACUUAUAUGUCACAUUCAUCAUUCAUUGGAUCCGCACAAUUUGUGCUAAAUAAUUUGUCGAAGCUAAUAAUGACGUUGCACAAUUAGUGCUCUCUCUUAUUUAACCAAAUUGAUCUUGGAAUCGCACACUUAGUGCCGGUUAUUCGACAUCGUCAUUUUUGUUUCGCACACUUAGUUCCCGUUAUUCAACAUUGUCAUUUUAAUUUCGCACACUUAGUGCCAUUCGUAUAGCCAUAGCUAUUCCAUACUCGCACACUCAGUGCUAAAUACCAGUAAAUCACAUCCACGUCUAUUUCUGUUACCCGAACUUAAACACAUUCAGCUACAUAUAUAUUUGCAUGUUUUCAUUUCAGCAUAUAUAUAACUAAUAUUUAUUUAUAAUUUAUAUCAUCUAUUUGCUUAUAAACUUACCUCGGACAACGAUAAACCGAAACAGAACGAUUAAUCGACGACUUUUGUUUUCCCCCGAUCCAAGUCCGAUUUCUUUAAUUCUUGAUCUAAACAUAUUCAAAUUAAACUCAUUCAAACAUAAUUUCAUCCAAUUUAGUCAAAAACGCAUAAUAAGUAAAUUUCACUUUUGCCCCUGACAUUUCACAUUUUUCACAAUUUAGUCCCUAUUUCACAAAAUACAAAAUAUUCCAAAUUUGACCACACUAUAGCUUGGCCGAAUAUUCCCUAGACUCAUAUAAUUCCAUACAUGUCAUUUAUUUCACAUAUUUAACACCUAUUUUAUAACCUUUACAAAAAGGUCCUUUUAGUUGUUUUCAUGGUAACACCUUUCACAAAAGCUGUUUAUUUAACAACUAAGACUCAUUUUCUUCCAUAAAAAUGCAGCAACCAACAUAAAGACUCACAUGGAAAAACCCUAGACUUCCAACCAUUUUGCAAAAUAGUCCCCUCAUUAGCUAGCUCAAGCUACAAGGGUUCCAAAAGUACAAAAAUUAUUAAAGAAUGGUCAUCAAAACACUUACUUGUAAGGAGAAAAGCUUGCUGAAAUUUUUGAGCUCUCAAACCCCUAUUUUGCUGCUAAUUUUCGAUGGUGAAGGUGGAGAAGAAAAGA